rnacentral:tRNA from 6 species
GUGCCGCCAGCACAGUUGGUAUAGCAGCUGACUCUUAACCAGCGGGUCGGGGGUUCGAUGCCCUCGCGGCGCA